rnacentral:rRNA from 1 species
GUUGAUCCUGCGGGAGGUUGCUGCUAUUGGGAUUCGACUAAGCCAUGCAAGUCUGGGGAGCUUCGGCUCACCGGCAAAAUGCUCAGUAACACGUCGAUAAUCUGCCUUCAGGCCUGGAAUAACCUUGGGAAACUGAGGCUAAGACCGGAUAAGGAAAUUGUUCUGGAAACGAUUUUUUCCUAAAAGGUAACACCUGAAGAUGAGUCGGCGGCGGAUUAGGCUGUUGGUGGGGUAAUGGCCCACCAAACCAAAGAUCCGUACGGGCCGUGAGAGCGGUAGCCCGGAGAAGGUCACUGAGAUACUGGACCUAGCCCUACGGGGUGCAGCAGGCGCGAAACCUUUACAAUGCACGCAAGUGUGAUAAGGGGAUCCCAAGUGCUGAUGUUUCACAUCGGCUUUUGCCAAGAGUAAAAACCUUGGCGAAUAAGUGGUGGGCAAGACUGGUGCCAGCCGCCGCGGUAACACCAGCGUCCACAAGUGGCAGCCACAAUUAUUGGGCCUAAAGCGUCCGUAGCCGGAUUGGCAAAUCUUUUGUGAAAUUGUUGGGCUCAACCUAACAACGUGCAGGAGACACUACCAAUCUAGGGACCGGGAGGAGUCAAGAGUAUUGCGGGGGGAGCGGUAAAAUGUUAUAAUCCUUGCAAGACUACCUAUGGCGAAGGCACUUGACCAGAACGGAUCCGACGGUGAGGGACGAAAGCCAGGGGAGCAAAACGGAUUAGAUACCCGAGUAGUCCUGGCUGUAAACGCUGCGAGCUAGGUGUUGCACAUUCUUCGGGAAUGUGCAGUAUCGGAGUAAAGAUGUUAAGCUCGCCGCCUGGGAAGUACGGUCGCAAGACUGAAACUUAAAGGAAUUGGCGGGGGAGCACCACAAGGGGUGCGGCGUGCGGUUUAAUCUAAUUCAACACAGAGAAUCUCACCAGGAGCGGCGGCAGGAUGAAAGUCAGCCUAAAGGGCUUACUUGACAAGCCGAGAGGUAGUGCAUGGCCGUCGUCAGCUCGUGCUGUAAGGUGUCCUCUUAAGUGAGGCAACGAGCGAGACCUGUAUCUACAAUUGCCAUCGAGUCCUUCGGGAUGAUCGGGCACAUUGUAGGGACUGCCGUGGAAACACGGAGGAAGGUGCAGGCUACGAUAGGUCUGUAUGCUCCGAAUCUUCUGGGCUACACGCGCGCAACAAUGGUAGGGACAACGGGAUACAACUCCGAAAGGAGAAGUUAAUCCUCUAAACCCUAUCCAAGUCCAGAUUGGGGGUUGUAACUCACCCUCAUGACGAUGGAAUCCCUAGUAAUUGGAAGUUAUCAGCUUUCAGUGAAUAAGUCCCUGCUCCUUGCACACACCGCCCGUCAAACCACUCGAGCCGAGUCUGGAUGAGUCUCGAUUUAAUUGGUCAAGUCGAAUCUAGGCUUAGUAAGAUGGGUUAAGUCGUCACAAGGUA